GCCUGCUGUUGUCCAGGAGCGCACGUGCGCGGCGGGGGGGUUGUGAGAGAGUUAUGGACCUGAAGAUUGGAAGUGACCUGGCAAGGGAGAAGAAGGACAAGCAAGAGUGAAAGAGUAGCAAACCCUGAAGUGGUUCCAAGGGUUUACCUUGUGACCACAGAGACCCAUCUCUGCCAGAGAGGAACAAGCAUGCAGAGAAGAAUUCAAUAGCCUGGGUUGUUCCUGGGAUUGGUGAGCUUUAAAAUCUCCUGUGAUGUCAAGAAGAGGAAAGCCUUCACAUCCCAGGUUUGGCCAUCACAUCCCCGAAUUCAGCUGCAUUGGCUGAAUGUUAAAUGGUUUAUGCCCAGCUAGUGGGAAGGUGAAUAAUACGUAAAGGAGCUGGGAUCUACACAUACGUUGGAUGACACAGACAUUGUACUUCAGAGUCUCGAAGCAUUUUGGAGCAUCUGGGCUCACUCCUGGCAUCUCGGAUCUAUUGCCCUGCAGUCCCCUCCGGGCACUGGAGCAGCGUCACGGUACAGACAAGUAGAGCCAGCACAGAGUGCAGCCACUGAGCCGACUGCAUUGCCUACCUAACCUUGAGGUUUAGAGCGAGUCUGGGAAUUUGAGCAAGGGAGAGAGAGAAAGCUUAUGUUCGUUCAUCCCCAAAUUGAAGGCUCAACAGCCGGCUUGAGAAAAAUGAGUUGCCGAAAGCCGAAAUUCUUCAGAGAGAAUUUUCCCAAAGUGACGUUUGACAUUGCCCUGUUUGUUUAUUUUCUUCCUGGCCAAAGGGCCAACUCCAUAUUGUGUCCUAAUUAAACAGGAUAACAAAAUAGAUUUUUGAAAAAGGUGCAUUGCGUGUGCGUAACAUUCUCCUAGCUAAUCUGGAUGCCCAGGGAGUAGCCUUUCUAAACAUUGAGCACUUUACACACAAGAAGAACUACUACUGAGCAACAUUUUGGGAAGUGGUCAGUAGUGCUGAAUCCCCGGGGCAAUCAUCGAAAUAAGCUUUCCAUAUUCUGUCCUCCCAGUGACAUUUUGGUUCAUUAGAUUCUAUCACAAUAAUUUAGAACCUUUGACUGUUCUCCCACUACAAGGCCACAAAGGUUUUUUUCUUUCUUUUUUUUUCAGACUCUAAAUCUUCACACCCGCCAUACCCAUCUACAUAUCUGCUUUUGAAUAGUCGGCCAGAUAGUAGUUCCUUUGCGGGUGUCCUAGUAGGGUGCCUCUCCACUUGCAGAAUUCUAGAUGUCAACUGCCCCGGGCUGUGACCUUGGGCCAUUCCUAUUCCUUUUCUACACUCCCUCCCAGGGCAGCCUCCUCCAGCCCUAGGCUUUAAAUAGCCUCCAUUCACUGAUGUAUAUCUUUAACCCUGACCUCUCACCAGUACUCCAGGCUCGUAUAUCCAGCUGCCUCCAUGACAUCUCUGUUUGCAUAUCUCAAACUUAACAUGUCCAGAGCAGAACUCUUGACUUUCCGUAUUAAAACCGAAACUCCAAAUUUCUUCCUUCAAGUCUUCUUCCUCUUAGAACCAAAACGACUCCUUCUCUCAAACACCACAUUCAUUUUUGCAGGAAAUCCUUCCACUUCUACUUUCAAAACAUAUCCCGAAUCCAAUCUCUUCCUUUAAUUGCUAGCACCCUGAAGUUUCUCCCCUGGGUGACUAACCCGUUCCCUGCUUCCAUUAUCCCCCCUCCAGCCUCAAUUCAGCAACCAGAGAGUUCUUGCAAAACAUGAGUAAGAUGUCGUUAUCCUUGCUCAAAACUCUUGAAUGCUCUGUGCUUCUAAUCACACCACCAUAAAAAUCCAAAGUCUUGGAGUUCCCGUCAUGGCAUGGUGGAAACGAAUCCGGCUAGGAACCAUGAGGCUGUGGGUUCCAUCCCUGGCCUCGCUCAGUGGGUUAAGGAUCCAGCAUUGCCGUCAGCUGUGGUGUAGGUUGCAGACAUGGCUUGGAUCUGGCGUUGCUGUAGCUGUGGUGUAGGCUGGCAGCUUUAUCUCCAAUUCAAUCCCUAACUUGGAAACUUCCCUAUGCCACAGGUGUGGCCCUAAAAAGCAAAAAAAAAAAAAAAA
rnacentral:lncRNA from 1 species